AUUGAACGCUGGCGGCAGGCCUAACACAUGCAAGUCGAGCGGAUGAAGGGAGCUUGCUCCUGGAUUCAGCGGCGGACGGGUGAGUAAUGCCUAGGAAUCUGCCUGGUAGUGGGGGAUAACGUCCGGAAACGGGCGCUAAUACCGCAUACGUCCUGAGGGAGAAAGUGGGGGAUCUUCGACCUCACGGCAUUCGGUUAACCCUAGGUCGGAUUAGCUAGUUGGUGGGGUAAAGGCCUACCAAGGCGACGAUCCGUAACUGGUCUGAGAGGAUGAUCAGUCACACUGGAACUGAGACACGGUCCAGACUCCUACGGGAGGCAGCAGUGGGGAAUAUUGGACAAUGGGCGAAAGCCUGAUCCAGCCAUGCCGCGUGUGUGAAGAAGGUCUUCGGAUUGUAAAGCACUUUAAGUUGGGAGGAAGGGCAGUAAGUUAAUACCUUGCUGUUUUGACGUUACCAACAGAAUAAGCACCGGCUAACUUCGUG
rnacentral:rRNA from 1 species